CUGUAAUCUAUUGAUUUUAUAAGACCAAGUUUCAGCAAUAAAAAUGGAAAACUGUUUUGAAGCAAUUAAAAGACUGCUCCAACGAGAAUCAAGAAUUGUACAUUGCACCUCGGGUGAAUGUUGAAAAAUAUUAUCCAAUAUCAAAAAGCAUUAUUUGGCCCAGCUUCAACUAUUCAAGUUUUCACCGGCACCAAGACAAAAGGGAUUGCACGAUUUGUUAAUAACACCAGAGAUCGCUCUAACGACUUGCUGUGAUAAGACAGAAGUUUCAAUGGAGGAAUAGAAGAAAGAAAAUAGUAAAGUAGUGAGAAAGAAAGUAAUAACGAAUCUUAAAAACAAAGCGGAAGAUUAUGUUUUAAGUAAAUAUUGAUAUCAUGUAAUAAUAUUAAUACUAUAUAAAUAAUAAUGGUAA